rnacentral:rRNA from 1 species
AUUGAACGCUGGCGGCAUGCCUUACACAUGCAAGUCGAACGGCAGCACGGGGCAACCUGGUGGCGAGUGGCGAACAGGUGAGUAAUGCAUCGGAACGUGCCAUUGAGUGGGGGAUAACGUAGCGAAAGUUGCGCUAAUACCGCAUAUUCUGUGAGCAGGAAAGCAGGGGACCGCAAGGCCUUGCGCUCUUUGAGCGGCCGAUGUCAGAUUAGCUAGUUGGUGAGGUAACGGCUUACCAAGGCGACGAUCUGUAGCGGGUCUGAGAGGAUGAUCCGCCACACUGGAACUGAGACACGGUCCAGACUCCUACGGGAGGCAGCAGUGGGGAAUUUUGGACAAUGGGCGCAAGCCUGAUCCAGCCAUGCCGCGUGAGUGAAGAAGGCCU